GACGAACGCUGGCGGCGUGCUUAACGCAUGCAAGUCGAACGGAAAGGCCCUGCUUGCAGGGUACUCGAGUGGCGAACGGGUGAGUAACACGUGGGUGAUCUGCCCUGCACUUCGGGAUAAGCUUGGGAAACUGGGUCUAAUACCGGAUAGGAGCCAUCUUUAGUGUGGUGGUUGGAAAGAUUUUUCGGUGUAGGAUGAGCUCGCGGCCUAUCAGCUUGUUGGUGGGGUAAUGGCCUACCAAGGCGGCGACGGGUAGCCGGCCUGAGAGGGUGUACGGCCACAUUGGAACUGAGAUACAGCCCGGACUCCUGCGGGAGGCAGAAGUGGGGAAUAUUGGACAAUGGGAGCAAGCCUGAUGGAGCGACGCCGCGUGGGCGAUGAAGGCCUUCGGGUUGUAAGCUCCUUUCGCUAGGGACGAAGCGUUUUUGUGACGGUACCUAGAUAAGAAGCACCGGCUAACUACGUG
rnacentral:rRNA from 1 species